CUCGCUGGUUCUAUGGAACAGCAGCCCCAAGGACUAACCAGGAGACAGAAGGAGCGUAGUUCCAGGACAGACAAUCAUGUGGUUCUGAAGAGGCAGCAGUUUCUAUUUCUGUCUUGCAAAUUUCUGCUUGCCAUCAUCAGGCCUAGGAUGGAUGCCUGGAAUGUAGGUCCAGCUGUAAAUGAUUG